ensembl:snoRNA SNORA74 Small nucleolar RNA SNORA74
UCCAGCUGUAGGCAACUACCUCGGCUGCCUUGUACCUAGGCAAGUGCUUCACUGCUGGGAGAAAAGCAGCCAACAGCUGGUGGGCACUCU